rnacentral:misc_RNA from 1 species
AAGGAGUCUAACAUCUAUGCGAGUGUUUGGGUGUCAAGCCCGGGCGCGUAAUGAAAGUGAACGGAGGUGGGAACCCCUCGGGGCGCACCAUCUACCUAUCCUGAUGUCUUCGGAUGGAUUUGAGUAAGAGCAUAGCUGUUGGGACCCGAAAGAUGGUGAACUAUGCUUGAAUAGGGUGAAGCCAGAGGAAACUCUGGUGGAGGCUCGCAGCGGUUCUGACGUGCAAAUCGAUCGUCAAAUUUGGGCAUAGGGGCGAAAGACUAAUCGAACCAUCUAGUAGCUGGUUCCUGC